UCCAGCUCGUCGCUGGCAGUCCCGAUAGAGUGCUCAGCAGGCCUUGCGGCCCCUGGUGGCAACUAUCAGCAAUGGUUGCGCUCGUUGUGGCACUUAAGCCAACACCUCACGGCACGAGCUGACGACAGCCAUGCAGCACCUGUGCAAGAUCUCGACUGGUUACGAGUCGUUGCCCUUUCAGAUUCCUACUUCAAGCAUGUCAAGCCUGGGUAAGGUUCUUCGCGUAGCAUCGAAUUGAACCACAUGUUCCACCGCUUGUGCUGGCCCCCGUCAGUUCCUUUGAGUUUCAACCUUGCGGCCGUACUCCUCAGGUGGGACACUUAGCGCGUUUGCUGCGGCACUGACACCUAACGGUGCCAACACCUAGUGUCCAUCGUUUACAGCUAGGACUAC
rnacentral:misc_RNA from 1 species